AGUGAACGCUGGCGGUAGGCCUAACACAUGCAAGUCGAACGGCAGCACAGUAAGAGCUUGCUCUUACGGGUGGCGAGUGGCGGACGGGUGAGGAAUACAUCGGAAUCUACUUUUUCGUGGGGGAUAACGUAGGGAAACUUACGCUAAUACCGCAUAAGACCUACGGGUGAAAGCAGGGGAUCUUCGGACCUUGCGCGAUUGAAUGAGCCGAUGUCGGAUUAGCUAGUUGGCGGGGUAAAGGCCCGCCAAGGCGACGAUCCGUAGCUGGUCUGAGAGGAUGAUCAGCCACACUGGAACUGAGACACGGUCCAGACUCCUACGGGAGGCAGCAGUGGGGAAUAUUGGACAAUGGGCGCAAGCCUGAUCCAGCCAUACCGCGUGGGUGAAGAAGGCCUUCGGGUUGUAAAGCCCUUUUGUUGGGAAAGAAAAGCAGCAGGUUAAUACCCCGCUGUUCUGACGGUACCCAAAGAAUAAGCACCGGCUAACUUCGUG
rnacentral:rRNA from 1 species